UGGGGAAUAUUGCGCAAUGGGGGCAACCCUGACGCAGCCAUGCCGCGUGUGUGAAGAAGGCCUUCGGGUUGUAAAGCACUUUCAAUGGGGAAGAAAAGCGUAGCGUUAAUAGCGUUGCGCCGUGACGUUACCCAUAGAAGAAGCACCGGCUAACUCCGUGCCAGCAGCCGCGGUAAUACGGAGGGUGCGAGCGUUAAUCGGAAUUACUGGGCGUAAAGCGCGCGUAGGCGGUUUGUUAAGUCAGCUGUGAAAGCCCCGGGCUUAACCUGGGAACUGCAGUUGAUACUGGCCGACUAGAGUACGAGAGAGGGAGGUAGAAUUCCAUGUGUAGCGGUGAAAUGCGUAGAUAUAUGGAGGAAUACCGGUGGCGAAGGCGGCCUCCUGGCUCGAUACUGACGCU
rnacentral:rRNA from 1 species